rnacentral:rRNA from 1 species
UACGAAGGGGGCUAGCGUUGUUCGGAAUUACUGGGCGUAAAGGGUUUGUAGGCGGUUACACAAGUCAGUGGUGAAAGCCCGGGGCUUAACCCCGGAAUUGCCAUUGAAACUGUAUAGCUAGAGAGUGUUAGAGGAAAGUGGAAUUCCUAGUGUAGGAGUGAAAUCCGUAGAGAUUAGGAGGAAUAUCGAUGGCGAAGGCAGCUUUCUGGGACAUUUCUGACGCUGAGAAACGAAAGCGUGGGUAGCAAACAGG